rnacentral:lncRNA from 1 species
UGUUGGAUCGUGAUCCGAGGCUAUAAGGGGGGAUGAUAGCCUCUUUUCGAUUUAUACAGGUUGAUUGCGGAAUUACCUGUAAAUGCUUAAUAAACAAAUGGUUGAACAGUAAUGAUAUAAGGAUAUUAUUAUUUUAAUUGAUAUAAUAAUGUAAGUAUUACUCUUCGAAGCUUACUACAAUAUAUGAAUACUGAGUCAACUUGCUUGAUAGUGUUUCACACACAACUAUAGUAUAUGAAUACUAAGUUAUAUUGGAAACACAAAUUGUAUUGUAGAGUAAAUGACCAGAUAAUUGGAUAUAUUGAUACGCAAGUAAAUGACCAGAUAACUGGAUAUAUUGACAAACAAGUAAGUGACCAGAUAACUGGAUAAGUUGAUAAACAAGUAAGUGACCAGAUAACUGGAUAAAUAUGAUAAGUAAUACUUGAACAAAUAUAAGGAUUUAAAGCAAUGAAUAUAACCUCAGAUAGUUGACCAGAUAACUGGAUGAGGGAUCUGCGUAAAGUAGUCAACCUCUGUGUUUGACCAGAUAACUGGAAGAGGGAUCUUUUUAAUUAAGUGUUGUUUUUAAGUAAAAGAUAAAACUAUAAUUAACAAAGAACAACACAAGAGAUUUAUACUGAUUCACCCAAACAAGGGCUAGUCCAGUCCCGACCAACUGUCGGAAUUCACUCGCCUAAAGGUAAUGGCAAAACCUUAGAGUAUCAAGGAAACUCUUAAGAACCUCUCUAAGCUUUAAGGCUACUUCGCUUAGGAACCAGUCUUUUACGGGUAGACUCACACCUUAGAGUAUCAAGGGCACUCUUAAGAACCUCUAACUUUUACGGGUAAGUUAGUACCUUAGAGUAUCAAGGAACUCUUAAAAACCUCUCUAAGCUUUAAGGCUACUUCGCUUAGGAACCAGUCUUUUACGGGUAGACUCACACCUUAGAGUAUCAAGGGCAUUCUUAAGAACCUCUAACUUUUACGGGUAAGUUAGUACCUUAGAGUAUCAAGGAACUCUUAAAAACCUCUGAAAUCUUUAAAGGUAGACUCAACCUAAGAGUUUUCCCGGAAACUCUAUAAAACCAAACUAGAGCUUUAUGGUUGAGCUCACAAACCUUCUCUCACACUUUGGUACUAUUGAGACAACCAUUCAACCAAAGUGGACACACACAAGAGGUGAUUAGAGGAGUGGAAUAUUAAAGCAAACAACACUUCUUACUUGUAAAGAUGAACAAGAAGAUUAGAAGAAGAAGUUGGAGAGCUUUUGAAGCUUUGGAAAACUAGGACACUUGAGCACUUGAAAGCUUGGAAGCUUGGAGGCAAAAACGUGUGGGCAAGUGUGGAGUGAAAGCUUUUGAGUUUCCUUGUAGUGUGGUGAGUGAAAAUGAGGGGAUUACCCUUCUAUUUAUAGCCUUGGCCACUCAACGUCCACCCUUGGAUCUUCAAUGGAUGGCUCCUUGAUUUCUCACAUAAAUCCAAGUUUUGUCUUUGAUCUUAUCUUGAAUAGUGCUUUUCUUGGAUAGAGUUUGUUGUAGAAUCUUAUCUUUGUAUAAAUUCAACCAUGAAUAGUGUUUUGUCCCCUUGGAAUAUUAUACAUUGAAUAAAGUGUCAAAAGAUAAUAAUAAUAAUAAUAUUCAAGGUAAACAUGCAAUUAUUCCAAAUAAUAAUAUUCAAAGUGAAAAUGCAAUUCUCCCAAUUAAUAAUAUUCAAGGUGAAAAUGCAAUUAUUCAAAUUAAUAAUAUUCAAGGUGAAAAUGCAAUUCUCUCAAUUUGACUUUUAACUUUGACUUAAACCCUUAACUCAAAUGAUUAAUUAAUUAACUAGAGUUAGGUUUAAUAUCGAUUGACUUAUUUACCCCCUAUUGAUUAAUAGUGUAAUUAGGGUUUAAAUUGACAUGAUUAAAAUAUAAUCCUAUGUCGACAAUUUUGAUUCUACAGUUUAACCCGCUUGGAUCGGGGUUGAGUCGUCUGUGUGUUCGGCCGCGCCUGCCUUUGUUGCCUCCUCCUCUCUUGUCUUUGUCUCGAUUAGUUCUAGUUCUUCCCUGAGCUUAGCUGACACUGCCUGUAUAUCCAGGUCAACUGUUACAGUUUAUUUUUCCUAAAUCUAAGGUUUUUAAGAGGUGGAGGGUGAUAGGUUGCAGUAGAGAUCGAUAUCCAGAAGAGUGAAAAAGAGAGUUUUAGAAAAAGAAGAAUCUGUUUCAGAAUUCUGUUGGAGGAAAACAAUGUCCGAAUACAUAAAAUGAAUUACAACUGUCUUAUAUAUAAACUUGGUAUAUUACAUUUUGUAAUGUAUAUAAUAGCAUAAUUAUACGGGACGACGAGAGAAGGAGAAAAAUUAUAUAUAUAUAUGGCGCGCUUUUUAUAUAUACAAAAAUUAUGCUAUUGUAUAAUAAUAGCAUAAUUAUACAAAAACUCGAUGCGAGUGGAGAUCGCAGAAUUGUGAGUUCCGCCAUCGUGAUUCCGCGAUUGUGAACUCGAGCGUUUCUCGCAAUUGUGAACUCGAGCGGUUCCUCGAGCAUUUCUUAAUCGUCGGAUUCCAAAUCACCCGCAACGAGCUUUCACUGCGGACUGUAUACAUAUGUAUGAAAAUUAGAAGAAAUUUCAUAAAAACUCAUCUUUUAUGAGUCAAAAGACGGCCGUCUAACAUGAUCCUAUAUUUAAAAAAAAUUGUAAACCUCUUUCUAUCUCAAGAUUAAUGCAGGAUGAAAGAAAAAUUAUUUAAGAUAAAAUUAAUGAACUGUCAUAAUGAUAUAACAUUUUUGGACUUAUUCAUCCGAAAAUUAUCAUUUUGCGCAUACAAAAAUUAUCAUUUUUUUUUAUAUUGUCAUAUUAAAUAUUGAUUGCAUUUCACUGUCGACUGUAGGUAAGUGGUGACUGGCAAGUGGCAAUAACCGGUCACGACUCACGAGUUUAUAUAUAAAUGAAAAAGAAAUCUUAAAUACAAAUCCAAGUGUUUCUUCUAAAUAUAUCCAGACAAAAUGGGAUCACUCCCUUACUAUUCCAACGGCAAAGAACAGAAUGCCGGCUCCAUUCUGACGAUAACGACCGAUCAGAUCUGCCAACUAUUCUCCGAGCAGAAGAUCCACCUCAACCAUUUCUUCGACAAUCUCGAUCACACUCAGGCUCUAACGUUCGCCCAAACCAUUCUCCGCCACACUCAAUCAGGAUCGAUCUUCUUCACCGGAAUUGGGAAGUCCGGUUUCGUCGCCAAUAAGAUCUCGCAGACCCUCGUAUCAUUAGGAUUCUCUCGAUCCUCCUUUCUCUCACCCGUUGACGCUCUCCAUGGGGACAUCGGCGUUCUGUCCUUCGGAGAUCUCCUCGUGUUUAUUUCCAAGUCUGGAUCUUCGGAGGAGCUCCUACGGUUGGUACCCUGCGCUAGGUCGAAAGGUGCUAUCUUGAUUUCGAUCACUUCCGUGAAAAAUAAUCCCCUUUCUCAGAUCUGUGACGAUAAUGUUCAUUUGCCGCUAUCCCGUGAGCUCUGUCCUUUCGAUCUCGCACCUGUCACCUCCACUGCUGUUCAGAUGCUCUUUGGAGAUACCAUCGCCGUCGCUCUCAUGGCCUCUACUAAACUCACGAGAGACCAAUAUGCCGCCAAUCAUCCUGCAGGAAGGAUAGGCAAAUGCCUCAUCUUCAAGGUACUGAAUCAACCUUUUUUUUUAUUGCCAUGAACCAUUUGUUUCAUCAAAUAAACACAAUUUUUACAAUGACUCUGUUCUUUUUUUUAUCUAAAUUUGAUGUCGUAUUAGAUGUUGUUUUGGGUAGUGACUAUUCAAAUUAAAAUCUAUGCCAAUCCAGAAUUUCACACCGACAAUUGCAAUUCUAGAUAUGUAUCUCCUCAAAUCUUUUCAUGAUUGAUGAUCAAAUCUUUCGUUAAAUUUUUUAUAUAUUUCUUUUGAGCAAAUCUUUAUAUGUAGCUUCAUGCUUUAUUUGAUUCACAAAGCAGUAUAUAUGUAGGAUUCUUCGAAAAUGUAACUGUUUGUAGAAUGUAGGUCUUAUUAGAAUGCAACCUUAAAUAAAUAAUGUGAUACUUUCAGUUCCAGAACAAUAAGAAACCUGGAAAUAUAUUUCUUCUUCAUGGGCAACUUCGUCGUUAUUCGUUAAACCCUAAAUAUGCUACUAAACCCUCGUUGUGAGAAUUAAGGUUUACACACUCCGACAAAUACUAAAUUUUACUAUUUUGAAUAUGUGAUAUGUUAACAUGGUUUUUCUCAUCCCCAAGGAUUUUUUCUUUCUAUUAAGUUUUUAUCAUUGCCUGAAAAUUAGAUUUUAUGGCCUUCCAAUAUUUUUGGGUGAAUACAUCAUACUUGUUUAUACAGGUGAAAGAUGUGAUGAAAAAGCAAGACGAACUUCCUCUCUGCAAACCAGACGACCUGAUAAUGGACCAACUUGUAGAGCUAACAAGCAAAGGAUGUGGAUGUCUUUUCGCUGUGGAUGAUGCACAACGCUUGAUUGGAACCUUUACAGAUGGUGAUCUCCGGCGUACACUCAAGGCAAGUGGGGAAGACAUUUUCAGACUCACUGUGGGUAGUAUGUGCAACAGGUAUGAUUCAAUCAUCUAUCCUUACUUCACUCCAUGUCUCAAGUAGAGUUCCAACAACAAUUAAUUUUACAGAAACCCCAGAAUAAUCAAUGUGGAUGCCAUGGCAGUUGAAGCCAUGCAGAAAAUGGAAUCUCCACCUUCACCUGUUCAGUUCUUGCCAGUGGUGGAUGCCGAUAAUGUUGUUAUUGGCAUUGUAACUUUACAUGGACUUGUUUCAAUUGGGUUGUGAUGGGAAGUCAGAACCCAAUUCCCCUUCAUUUAUAAAUUAUAAUACACAAUUUACACAUACACACACCACAUAUCUUUCUCUGUAUAAUUUUGUAAUAAAUUUCCCAUUCUUUACAUUUGUUCACAAGAUCUUACAUAUUGUUGAUGUUCUGACUUGUGUCUGUAAUUGAACUUCCCUCUGAAUGCAUAAUGCUGCAUACAUCAUCAUCACAUAUUCGUAACUUAAAAAUAAACAGAUAAAACUUACAUUGCUGGAUCAUCACAUAUGACAAGUAAAUAGUCCAUAUUCAGUAAUGUAUGCUUUAUCUGUUUAUUUUUAAGUUAUGCAGCAUUAUGCAUUUAGAGGGAAGUUCAAUUAGUUUUACGAGCUGUCCUUCCAUUCAUUAUACUCUCUCAAUAUCCUAAAUCCAAUAUGGUAUCUUCGCUAGAUGAAGGUUCUACUCCCAAACAAGAUUCCGUUCCGCUAAUUUCUGGAACCAAAGGAGAGUCGGAUUCGCUAGAUGGCUUUCUUGCAUUAAAGCUUUUGGAUUCUAAUUCGAGAAGAUUUGGUUAUUAAGACUAAUGAAGUUUAAAGUACUUAGAUUAGAGUUAUUUAGACUAAUCGGUCAGGCCCAACUGAUGUUGGCCCAUUAAGUUAAAUUAGGUCUUAGUAUAAAUAGAUGUUUGUAAUAUAUUUUUUAUCUACUUUUUCAAAAUAUCAAAAAACAAAACCCUAAGGGUUUCCAAACGUCUUGCGCUCGUCCUCCCGGCGACCCCUCGAUCCAAAACCCUAACCGCGUUCGCACACACUCCCUCCGGUCUCUCGUUUUCUUCAUGGUAUCAGAGCCCCUUGGCGUGCUGUGCUGUUAUCAUCGCUACUAGGGUUCCAGUGUUGCAAACCUUCAAGGUUCUGGUUGCUUCGACUCUGUCAAACUUUCGUCGUUCGUUCUCUGAAACAUAACCAAGUCUGGUAUAUCUAAAUCUUGGCUAGUCUAUGUGUGUUUUUUAAGUUCAUUUAAUAUACUAUGGAUGCUAUUCUUGUUUAUCGACCUAGAUCUAAAAGAUCUCUUGAUGCAUGUCACCGCAGAGUUGUUCUUAGAUCAUUUCUAAACUCUACAUACCAUCAAUGUUAUGAAAAUCUAAUCAUGUAUGGUCUUUCAACAAAAUACUUUAGAUUCAUACUAAUAUACGCUGCAUGUCUUUAUAUACUCAUCUAUCUAUCUUUGACAGAAAUAAAACUCUAUGUAAAGAUACAGAUCUACUUAAUAUACAUAUCUCAUGCUAUGUUUGAUACUACAUGUGGAGGACUAUUGUUACAUGAGUACUGGAAUGAAUUAAUCAUACAUAUGUGUAGAUUAAUGCAUGUUAGUCUCAAUAUUAUGACAAUCGAUGUCAUAUCUCAAUACAUAAUCAUGCAUGCUACUCAUUCACUGAUGCAUGCUUGUCCUUACUGUAUAGUGUUACUAAAUAAAUUAAAUAUUAGAGUGAUUCAUUUCUCAAACAUAGUCUACACAUCAUAUAUAGUAAUCUUACAUUCGUCACAUAUGUAUUCACUUACUGUGCAAUAUGAGAUCCAUCUUAUGUCAUGUUUAGUCUUAGACAUUCCUUGUUUUAUUGAUUGCAUUUCCAUAGUCAAAUUAAUAAUCUACCAUAUAUUACUUCCGCUGCUACUCAAUCACAAAAACAAAAGUGGGAUUACCACCACUGACAAAGUCAAUCCAUUUGAUUUAAAACUAAAUAUACUAUCUUUGAUUCAUUCAAGAUUAGUCAAAAUUGAACUAAUGCAAUUUCACUAUCAUGCAAAAUAUUACAGAACAUUCAACAUGUCUGGAACUGAGAAUUCUCAGAUUGUUCAGAGUGUUCCUGUUGUGCAAAAGAAACCCCUGGGCGGUCCCUUGUUUGACCCCACCUCCAUAUAUUUUUUCAAAUCCACAGACUAUGGCCCCCCUUCUAUAAUCAACAUCCUACAGGGCAGCCAAAACUACUACCCCUGGAACAGGGAGAUGACCACAAUGUUAAUCACUAGGAGAAAGUUAGGAUUUGUCAAUGGUACUAUUAAGGAGCCAUUAAACUGUGAUUCAGAGGAACAUGAGGCAUGGAUAACUUGCCAUGGGAUCAUAAGGCAAUGGAUAUGGAGCUCUGUCUCCCAAGAGAUAGCUUCACAGAUCAUGUAUACAGAUGAUGCCUCCAUCAUAUGGGCUGAUCUCAGAGAUCAGUAUAGACAGUCAAAUAAAACCCACCUAUUCCAACUGACUCAGGACAUAGCUAUGCUCCAACAGGAGUCCAAUUCUGUCUCUAAGUUCAGUGCUACCCUCAAAACUCUGUGGAGAGAGGUAGAUGCUUAUGGUGAGGUUCCAAGAUGUAGUUGCAUCACCUGCACAUGUAAUGUAAAUGGCAGGAUAAAUGAGAGGGAAGAAAGGCUCAAAGUUAGGAAGUUUCUGAUGGGCCUAAAUGACAACUUCAGACAAAUAAGAUCAACUAUACUAUCUAUGGAUAAACUGCCUAAUUUUGGAAAGGUAUUCUCAAUGGUCAUCCAUGAAGAAGCCCAGCAACAACUAACCAGCAAUGCAAACAACCAAGGCUCUGCCUUUUAUUCAGUCAAAGGAAAAGCACCCUACCAACCCUACCAACCAACUAAACCAACAAAUACUCCAUCCUCAUCUACUCAAAGGAAGAGGCCCCCUACACCUACUGAGCCCAUAUACUACAGAAGUGGCAAGCAGGUAAAUACAAAAUACUACUGCUUCUACUGUGCAGCCUUUGGGCACAGUGAUGAGAAAUGCUUCAAUCAACAUGGGUAUCCUUCUAGGAACACCUCCUCUGCUGCAAGACCAAAACCUGUCACUCCAACACCUACUGUGAUCAACAAGGCACAGGGCUCAGCCAACUGUGUAAACUCUGAACAAACCUGGUCUGCUUGGGAUAGUGAUGAAAAGAAAGCUGAAUCUCCUGACAACCCAAUUGGACCCUAUGGCUUUCCAUUAUAUUCAGAUAAAUACAAUCCAAGACCCUUGCCCAAGCGCAGAGACUCAGGUAAUGCUAAUAAUGUUUUUUCAAAUUUCAUAAACACAUACUGGAUUGUUGACUCAGGUGCAUCAGAACACCUGAGUGGCAAUGAAUCUUUAUUUCUAAAACUUACAAAGUGUGAUCCUUUUAAGAUCUCACUGCCCAAUGGGGACAGUCAGACAGUAUCCCAAAAGGGUGAUAUUGCAAUCUCAUCUGAUAUCACAUUAAAGGAUGUGUACUAUAUUCCAUCCUUUCAAGUUAAUUUGCUAUCAAUUAGCAAAUUAACACAAUUCGAUACUUAUACAGUUCAAUUCUCUAAAUCUUGUGCACUCAUAUUUGACAAGGUUCAGAUGAAGGAAGUUGGUCAGAGUAAGAUGAAGAAAGUGUAGAAUCAAAAUUGUCGACAUAGGAUUAUAUUUUAAUCAUGUCAAUUUAAACCCUAAUUACACUAUUAAUCAAUAGGGGUUAAAUAAGUCAAUCGAUAUUAAACCUAACUUUAGUUAAUUAAUUAAUCAUUUGAGUUAAGGGUUUAAGUCAAAGUUAAAAGUCAAAUUGGGAGAAUUGCAUUUUCAUCUUGAAUAUUAUUAAUUGGGAGAAUUGCAUUUUCACCUUGAAUAUUAUUAUUUGGAAUAAUUGCAUUUUACCUUGCAUAUUAUUAUUAUUAUCUUUUGACACUUUAUUCAAGGUAUAAUAUUCCAAGGAGACAAAACACUAUUCAAGUUUGAAUUUAUACAAAGAAAAGAAUUCUCCAACAACGGUAAAAUUCUCUAACAAGGAAAACACUAUUCAAGUUUGAAUUUAUACAAAGAUAAGAUUUCUCCAACAAAGACAAGGGGACAAAACACUAUCCAAGGAAAACACUAUUCAAAGACAAAGCUUGGAUUUAUGUGAGAAAUCAAGGAGUCAUCCAUUGAAGAUCCAAGGAUGGACAUUGAGUGGCCAAGGCUAUAAAUAGAAGGGUAAUCCCCUCAUUUCCACUCACCCACACUACAAGCAAACUCAAGAGCUUCCACUCUACACUUGCUCACACGUUUUUGCCUCCAAGCUUCCAAGCUUUCAAGUGCUCAAGUAUCCUAGCUUUCUAAAGCUUCAAAAGCUCUCCAACUUCUUCUUCUAAUCUUCUUGUUCAUCUUUACAAGUAAGAAGUGUUGUUUGCUUUAAUAUUCCACUCCUCUAAUCACCUCUUGUGUGUGUCCACUUUGGUUGAGAGGGUUGUCUCAAUAGUACCAAAGUGUUAGAGAAGGUUUGUGAGCUCAACCAUAAAGCUCUAGUUUGGUUUUAUAGAGUUUCCGGGAAAACUCUUAGGUUGAGUCUACCUUUAAAGAUCUCAAAGGUUUUUAAGAGUUCCUUGAAUACUCUAAGGUGUGAGUCUACCCGUAAAAGACUGGUUCCUAAGCGUAGUAGCCUUAAAGCUUAGAGAGGUUUUUAAGAGUUCCUUGAAUACUCUAAGGUACUAACUUACCCGUAAAAGUUAGAGGUUCUUAAGAGUGCCCUUGAUACUCUAAGGUGUGAGUCUACCCGUAAAAGACUGGUUCCUAAGCGUAGUAGCCUUAAAGCUUAGAGAGGUUUUGCCAUUACCUUUAGGCGAGUGAAAUCCGGCAGUUGGUCGGGACUGGACUAGCCCGUGUUUGGGUGAACCAGUAUAAAUCUCUUGUGUUGUUCUUUGUUAAUUUUAAUUCUAUCUUUUACUUAAAAAACAACACUUAAUUAAAAAGAUCCCUCUUCCAGUUAUCUGGUCAAGCACAGAGGUUGACUACUUUACGCAGAUCCCUCAUCCAGUUAUCUGGUCAACUAUCUGAGGUUACAUUCAUUGUUUUAAAUCCUUAUAUUUGUUCAAGUAUUACUUAUCAUAUUUAUCCAGUUAUCUGGUCACUUACUUGUUUAUCAACUUAUCCAGUUAUCUGGUCACUUACUUACUUGUCAAUAUAUCCAGUUAUCUGGUCAUUUAUUUGCGUAUCAAUAUAUCCAGUUAUCUGGUCAUUUACUCUACAAUACAAUUUGUGUUUAUAAUAUAACUUAGUAUUCAUAUACUAUAGUUGUACUUGAAACAUUAUCAAGCAAGUUGACUCAGUAUUCAUAUACUGUAGUAAGCUUUAAAGAGUAAUACUUACAUUAUUAUAUCAAUUAAAAUAAUAAUAUCCUUAUAUCAUUACUGUUCAACCAUUUGUCUAUUAAGUAUUUACAGGUAAUUCCGCUAUCAACCUGUAUAAAUCGAAAAGAGGCUAUCACCCCCCCCCUUAUAGCCUCGGAUCACGAUCCAACAAGUGGUAUCAGAGCCAAAUUCCGUUGAAGUCAGACUAACAUCUUACAACAACAACUAUGGCUUCAAAUGGUGAAAACAGUACUGGUCUUGCAUCGAACAAACCUCCCAGGUUCGAUGGAGUAAAGUAUGACUUCUGGAAGAACAAGAUGAAGUUAUACUUAAAGUCAAUCAAUAAUGGAGUCUGGAAAAUCGUAUUGGAAGAUUAUGAGAUCCCGACAAGCAAAGAAGAGACUUGGGGAGCCAUGAAUAUUCUCAAGGAAAACAACAACUCAAGAGCAUUGAAUGCACUAUAUGGCGCUCUCAAUGAAUCUGAGUACAGCAGAAUUCGAUGCUUAGAUACAGCUCACAAGGUAUGGAAAGCUUUGGAGGAUUUACAUGAAGGAACCUCCCACGUUAAAGAAAAUAAGCUACUACAUGCCACUUCUCAGUUCGAAAGAUUCUCUAUGAGGGAAGAUGAGACUAUCGCAGAAAUGAACAUUCGACUAUCACAAAUAGUCAAUGAUCUGGCUGGAUUAAGGGAUCCAGUAACUGAGAAGAAGCAAGUAAGCAAAAUUCUGAGGAGCCUUCCAAACAAGUACUACUCCAAAAGGAAUGCUAUCCAAGAGGCUCAUGAUCUCAACAAACUUACAGUUGUGGAACUCUGUGGAAAUCUGAUGGCCUUUGAAGAAGAAAGAUUCAUCUCUAGAGCUAAAGAAGAGAAAAAGGAUAUCGCUCUUAAAAGUCAAUCUGACAAUGAAACAUCAGAAGAUGAUCUAGCAAUGAUCACCAAUCAUCUGAGAAGAUAUCUGAAAAAGAGGAAAGAGAAGAAAAACUCAAGGUCAAGCCAUCAGAAGAUCGACAGAAGAAUAAGCAAGGAGUCAAAAGAACCAAUCUGUUAUCUAUGCGACAGGUCUGGACACAUCAAACCAGAAUGUCCUCUGCUAAAGAAAGAAAGAGCAAAUCAGGCACAAUGGACAGANNNNNNNNNNNNNNNNNNNNNNNNNNNNNNNNNNNNNNNNNNNNNNNNNNNNNNNNNNNNNNNNNNNNNNNNNNNNNNNNNNNNNNNNNNNNNNNNNNNNUGUAAAGAUGAACAAGAAGAUUAGAAGAAGAAGUUGGAGAGCUUUUGAAGCUUUGGAAAGCUAGGACACUUGAGCACUUGAAAGCUUGGAAGCUUGGAGGCAAAAACGUGUGGGCAAGUGUGGAGUGAAAGCUCUUGAGUUUGCUUGUAGUGUGGUGAGUGAAAAUGAGGGGAUUACCCUUCUAUUUAUAACCUUGGCCACUCAAUGUCCACCCUUGGAUCUUCAAUGGAUGGCUCCUUGAUUUCUCACAUAAAUCCAAGCUUUGUCUUGAAUAGUGUUUUUCUUGGAUAGAG